rnacentral:rRNA from 1 species
GAUGAACGCUGGCGGCGUGCCUAAUACAUGCAAGUCGAGCGAACGGACGCGACUCUUGCUUCUCUGAUGUUAGCGGCGGACGUGUGAGUAACACGUGUAUAACCUACCUAUAAGACUGAGAUAACUUCGGGAAACCGGCUCUAAUCCCGUAUAAUAUUUUGAACCGCAUGGUUCAAUAGUGAAAUACGGUCUUGCUGUCACUUCUCGCUGGAUCCGCGCUGCUUUAGCUAGUUGGUACGGUAACGGCUUUCCAAGGCAACGAUGCCUAGACGACCUGAGAGGGUGAUCGGCCACACUAGAACGGAGACGGGGACAAGAGGACUAAGGGAGGCAGCAGUAGGGAAUCGGACGCAAUGGGCGGAAGCAUGACGGAGCAACGGCGAGUGAGUGAUGAAGGUCUUCGGAUCGUAAAACCCGGUUAGUAGGGAAGAACAGAUGUGGAAGUAAAUGUGCACAUAGUGACGGUAACUAAUCAGAAAGCAACGGCUAACUACGUG